rnacentral:rRNA from 1 species
AUGUGGUUUAAUUCGAUGCAACGCGAAGACCUUACCAGCCCUUGACAUCCUCGGAAUCCUGCAGAGAUGCGGGAGUGCCUUCGGGAGCCGAGAGACAGGUGCUGCAUGGCUGUCGUCAGCUCGUGUCGUGAGAUGUUGGGUUAAGUCCCGUAACGAGCGCAACCCUUGCCCUUAGUUGCCAGCGCGUCAAGGCGGGAACUCUAAGGGGACUGCCGGUGAUAAACCGGAGGAAGGUGGGGGAUGACGUCAAGUCAUCAUGGCCCUUAUGGGCUGGGCUACACACGUGCUACAAUGGCCGGUACAGAGGGUUGCCAACCCGCGAGGGGGAGCCAAUCUCAGAAAACCGGUCGUAGUCCGGAUCGCAGUCUGCAACUCGACUGCGUGAAGUCGGAAUCGCUAGUAAUCGCGAAUCAGCAUGUCGCGGUCGAAUACGUUCCCGGGCCUU